ACGGAAAGCAUGACCCAACAUCGUUUAUGAAUAGGAUAAAUAAGAGAGGACACAAGAUACUACCUUGAAGGACACCUGAAGUGGCAACAAAAUGAUUGGAAAGUAUAUUAUCGAUGGCAACUGUACAACACCUGUUGGGAAGGUAGGAACGAAUCCAUUCAAGGAAAGUUGAACGGAAACCGAAACGCGAUAACUUAUUGAUCAAAACCUUGUGUGAAACUCUAUCAAACGCCUUUGAAAAGUCUGUGUAUACUGCGUCAACUUAGAGACACGUCUGCAACGCAGCAACACAAUCCUCCGUGAAAGUAGCAAGCUUAUUCGUUUGCAGACUAGAAAAAUGGCGGACAGCCAUCAAAAUACUGAUUCAAAAUACACACAAAUGGGUGCGCGCAGCAAAAUUCAGCCCGAAUGGCGAAUGUAUGCGAACGUUCACCGGGGGAAGAGCAUGGCAUCCAGACGGCAAUCUGGUGGCUUUAGCAUUAAGUUGUAACCGCGUUAAGAUAUUUGACAAAGCUGAAGGCGAGCUAAUACAGUGCAUUCGUCGCCGGAGAAUGAUGUUGCAUUUCACCCAAGUGGAAAUUUCUUGGUGACUGGCGGCGAUGACGAUACAAUAAGAUUGCUUGAUUUAUUAGAAGUUGCUCGUUUGGAAAUCUAAUUUGCAUACAUUUGAUACCAAUAGCUCGCAACAAACAAGCCAGUUCUCAAAGAGCCCAAAUUGAUUUUAGUCAUGCAACAGCUCCACAUAACUCCGCCAUAGACACACCAGUUGCUGGAGUACCAAAAAGCUGUGAUGACAGUAUUUUAAUUGAUCCACGACAAUCGGUGGCAUAUGGAAUCCGUGAUGGAAAUUUUCUGGUGCUUGAUAGCCAAUAUACUACAAGAUUACAUUAAGAAGCUCAUAGAGGACAGAGCGGUUGGUGAGGAAGGUGUCGAGUUACUGCAGUACUGCAACUGGGAAAAUCCGCAUUUCGCACGUGCCCCACUCAUAUGGAAUAGUAGCUUAUGUCAAAAGGCUGGUUUUAGUAUAAUGCGGCAUUAGCAGCAUACCCUCACUGG